UGGCUCAGAGGUUAAAGCAUCUGCCUCCAAUGCAGAAGACCCAGGUUUGAUCCCUGG
rnacentral:tRNA from 1 species